rnacentral:tRNA from 1 species
GUCUCAGUGGCGUAGUGGUUAGCACACGAGCCCGGCUAGGCGCGAGACGCGGGUUCGAAUUCCGCCUGAGAUG